rnacentral:rRNA from 1 species
GACGAACGCUGGCGGCGUGCUUAACACAUGCAAGUCGAACGGAAAGGCCCCUUUGGGGGUACUCGAGUGGCGAACGGGUGAGUAACACGUGAGUAACCUGCCCUUGACUUCGGGAUAACUUCAGGAAACUGGGGCUAAUACCGGAUAGGAAUCCUUGCUGCAUGGUGGGGGUUGGAAAGCUUCGGCGGUUUUGGAUGGACUGGUGGCUUAUCAGCUUGUUGGUGGGGUAGUGGCUUACCAAGGCUGUGACGGGUAGCCGGCCUGAGAGGGCGACCGGCCACAUAGGGACUGAGAGACGGCACAGGCUGCGACGGGAGGCAGCAGGGGGGAAUAUUGCACAAGGGGCGGAAGCCUGAUGAAGCAAGGCCGCGUGCGGGAUGACGGCCUUCGGGUUGUAAACCGCUUUCAGCAGGGGCGAAGCUUGUGGUGACGGUACCUGCAGAAGAAGCACCGGCUAACUACGUG